GACGAACGCUGGCGGCGUGCUUAACACAUGCAAGUCGAAUGGAAAGGCCCUGCUUUUGUGGGGUGCUCGAGUGGCGAACGGGUGAGUAACACGUGAGUAACCUGCCCUUGACUUUGGGAUAACUUCAGGAAACUGGGGCUAAUACCGGAUAGGAGCUCCUGCUGCAUGGUGGGGGUUGGAAAGUUUCGGCGGUUGGGGAUGGACUCGCGGCUUAUCAGCUUGUUGGUGGGGUAGUGGCCUACCAAGGCUUUGACGGGUAGCCGGCCUGAGAGGGUGACCGGCCACAUUGGGACUGAGAUACGGCCCAGACUCCUACGGGAGGCAGCAGUGGGGAAUAUUGCACAAUGGGCGGAAGCCUGAUGCAGCAACGCCGCGUGCGGGAUGACGGCCUUCGGGUUGUAAACCGCUUUCGCCUGUGACGAAGCGUGAGUGACGGUAAUGGGUAAAGAAGCACCGGCUAACUACGUG
rnacentral:rRNA from 1 species